GUGUGGAUAGCGGAGAAAUUCCAAUCGAACCCGGAGAUAGCUGGUUCUCCUCGAAAUAGCUUUAGGGCUAGCCUCAUGAGAGUCUUAUGGAGGUAGAGCACUGAAUUGCCUAGGGGGCGUCAAAGCUUACCAAAGCAUAUCAAACUCCGAAUGCCAUCAAGAUGAUUCAUGGGAGUCAGACCAUACGAGAUAAGUUGGAUGGUCAAAAGGGAAAGAGCCCAGACCUACAGCUAAGGUCCCAAAGUACGUGUUAAGUGGAAAAGGAUGUGGGGAUUCUAAGACAACUAGGACGUUGGCUUAGAAGCAGCCAUUCAUUGAAAGAGUGCGUAAUAGCUCACUAGUCGAGAGUCCCUGCGCCGAAAAUGUCCGGGGCUGAAACACGACACCGAAGCUUAGGAAUGUGUAAACAUUGGUAGAGGAGCAUUGCUAGCGGGAUGAAGCCAUACCGUAAGGAGUGGUGGACUGCUAGGAAGAGAGAAUGCCGGAAUGAGUAGCGAGAUGAAGGUGAGAAUCCUUCAGGCCGAAUAUCUAAGGUUUCCAGAGUAAAGCUGAUCUGCUCUGGGUAAGUCGGGACCUAAGGCGAGGUCGAAAGACGUAGUCGAUGGAUAACAGGUUGAAAUUCCUGUACCGCAUAUAAACAGAACUGUGGGGACACAGACAGGGAAUGGAAUCCGGGAAUGGAUAUCCCGGUGCAAGCGAGGUAGGAGUGCUGUUGGCAAAUCCGCAGCACGAUCUGAAGACGUGAUGCGUACCGAACAUAAGUAGGGAAGUCCAGGCCCCUGGCUGUCAAGAAAAGCCGCUAUUGUUUUAUAUGUGCCCGUACCGCAAACCGACACAGGUGGAUGAGGAGAGAAUCCUAAGGCCGACGGGAGAAGUAUUGUUAAGGAACUCGGCAAAAUGACUCCGUAACUUCGGGAGAAGGAGUGCCAUGAGAGUGGCCGCAGAGAAAUGGCCCAAGCAACUGUUUAGCAAAAACACAGGUCUAUGCAAAACCGCAAGGUGAAGUAUAUGGGCUGACGCCUGCCCGGUGCUGGAAGGUUAAGGGGAGAGGUUAGCGCAAGCGAAGCUUUGAACUUAAGCCCCAGUAAACGGCGGCCGUAACUAUAACGGUCCUAAGGUAGCGAAAUUCCUUGUCGG
rnacentral:rRNA from 1 species